GGGUCAGUGGCACAACGGAUAACGCGCCUGACUACGGAUCAGGUGAUUCCGCAUUCGAAUCGUGGUUGGCUCC
rnacentral:tRNA from 1 species